GUUAAAGUAGUUUAAAUAGAAUUCAGAAUUGUCAUUUUUGAGGUGCCUCCUAGGCCUUUUGCU
rnacentral:tRNA from 1 species